rnacentral:rRNA from 1 species
UACGGGGGGGGCAAGCGUUGUUCGGAAUUACUGGGCGUAAAGGGCUCGUAGGCGGCCAACUAAGUCGGACGUGAAAUCCCUCGGCUUAACCGGGGAACUGCGUCCGAUACUGGAUGGCUUGAGUAUGGGAGAGGGAUGCGGAAUUCCAGGUGUAGCGGUGAAAUGCGUAGAUAUCUGGAGGAACACCGGUGGCGAAGGCGGCAUCCUGGACCGGUAUUGACGCUGAGGCGCGAAAGCCAGGGGAGCAAACGGG